CUCGAUGGCGGGUAUUGCAGGGGCACUUCGGUGCGCCGUUUCCUUUGUUGCGGUAAUGUUGACCUUGUAAUACCCGCCGCCAAA
rnacentral:antisense_RNA from 1 species